CUUCUCUUCUCACAGCAGGAUCCCUAAGCAGCCACAUAGCGGACCCUGACCAACGCAGGUGAAUACACUCUCUCCUCACACAGUAACAGCAGUCAGACUGAGGAUAUAUUUAUCCUCGGUAAACGGUGACGGAGCGAUGGAUGACUGGAGAUACGAAGAAAGAGUAAAGCUGGAGCUGGUUUUGAAGAGUACAGUACUGCAUAUUCUGUAUUCAUUGGUGACACUACUGGUCAUUACAGGUUAUUGCAACUGUAAAUAUUACAAGUGAUAAUAAAUACCAUAAUAAGUGACAUAGCCUGUUAUAAUACUUUCAGUAUUGAAUAACGGUCCUGUAUAUUAAGUUGUCUGACAGCAGUGUUGGCAAAGCAUACAGACACUCAAAAUAGAAAGGACACUAAUUUCACCACACGACACCCCAUCUAUUACUCUGGGAUGAGUCAUAGCAGCAAGACUUAAAAUUCUUUAAUCAUUCUUGAAUGACAGCAGACAGCAACCAUACAGAGCAGACAGCAUUGUAUUGUAUAUAAUCUGCCAUGGCAGUCAUCCAACCACAUAAAAGGCAGGAGAACACAAGGCUUCUGUGGUCGGGCGGCUUGCACUGAGUGGCACAGAUAGAAAUAUGUCACAAGCAUCAAAUCUAUUCAUAUAAUGAUUAACAAAAACAUUGAGAGAUCGUGAAAAGAGUUCUCUUAUAAAAAGGAACUGAUUCAUGUCUGACUGAUCUGCACUGAUUAACGUGCAGGUCACUGGUAAAGAGGAGAGUAUAGUUCUAUUUACAUUUAUUUCAUUCGUUUGAUUUCACACGCUUUCAUUUUUCACAAAAUGGAGAAUAUUGGAACGUCCAUCCCUGAUGAGCUGUGAACAAGCCCUUCCUGACACCCCACUCUCACUGCUUAGGAUCAGAACUGACUGCUGAAGGAGCUCUUCCUUCCUGACACCCCACUGUACCUGCUUAAGGCCCCGUCACACCAUAACGUUCUGGUGUGACGGGGCCUUUAGGAUCAGAACUGACUGCUGAAGGAGCUCUUCCUUCCUGACACCCUCACUCUACCUGCUUAGGAGCAGAACUGACUGCUGAACAGCCUCUAGUGACUGCUCUCUCAGUUCUUCAGACUUUGUAAAUAUAUUAUUUAUGGCUUACCUCCCAUAGAGAGUUUUGUGGAAAGGUGUGGGAGAUUAACGGUGUGGGAGAUUAAAGGUGUGGGAGAUUAAAGGUGUGGGAGAUUAAAGGUGUGUGAGAUUAAAGGUGCAGGGAUUAAAGGUGAGGGAGAUUAAAGGUGUGGGAGAUUUUCUUCUAACUGAUAAGUGGUAAGCAAUAAUAAAUAAAUAAAAACAACAAUGCAGCCAAUUUCUAAAACAAUAACAUCUCCCAGAUCACAUCACUUGUAUUACUUUAGAAAUUAAGAGCUGAUUAGGAAUAUGUGUGUGUCUGUGUGUCUCUCUGUGUGUGUGUGUGUGUGUGUGUGUGUGUGUGUGUGUGUGUGUGUGUGAGUGUGUGUGUGUGUGCACAUACAUGCUUAUGAAGCAGUCUCUGAAAGUGUAUUUACAGUACAAUAUCUUCGUGCAACAUCAAAGAGGCCUACAAACCUACUUGGAUCAAUGUAUUUAGCAAGACUAUAACUCUAUGGUAAACCCAUAUGGAUACAGUCUCUCAUCACUACAAUGAUCCAAAUUUAGCAAGAGAAAGAAGUUAAUGAAAUUCUAGAGUUCAUGAAAUGAUUCUGUCUCUUUUCUUCCAUUCAUGAAAGCACCGCAAUGCAUUUUUUGGACAUCAGACCAUAAAUUCCAAACGCCAGAAAAUGGCUGCCUGGAAAUCCAGCUUGCGAAAGUCCAUUCCUGUCACACAUCCUGCGAAAGUCCAUUCCUGUCACACAUCCUGCUUUGGUAUGUCCUCACUGGUCCAUGAAUGUUUGCAGCCAUAUGAUGCAAAUAUCAAAAGUGAAGUCUUCGUAUGCAUUUUUGUCACAUAUUGCCACCGAUCAUAAAUUGUAGAGUGAAAAAUGAAAUAAAAUACAAAGAUCACAGAGUGGAUAUAUUGGAUAACUUAAUAAAGUGGAUCAAAUGGUUCUUUGUAGAGCCCAGAGGAACACUGAUGCUUAUUUUAGAGUUCUACAGUCUGUCUGUUUUUCUGGGCUAUUCUGGAAUGUUCUUGAAUAUUCCAAUUAGCAUUGAGACACCUCCAGUUCGCGGUGUUCCGCUGUCUCCUCCUCUGGAAUGUCCUGCAGAUCUGAAACACAAUGAGGAAUCUUCAAAAGGACAUCUCCACAAUUAGUUAUGGCAACUACCCUAAACACAAGCAUACAGUUAUCAAAUAUGUGAACAAUGCUUAGCACAACGAGCUAACGUUAAGUAAAUACCUUGCAGAAAUGAGUGGAACUCUUUUGGAACAUUCUGUCAUAUACUAAAACGACAUAUAAAUGAAUUAAACAACUGAGCUAAAUUAACAAAAUGGCGGUAAUUUUAGGUCUAGUUUGUAUGUCAGAAUAUGGUCAUGACUCAUGUGUGGCCAAGAGGGAGCCAUAAGAACUUGAUGGCUGGAAGUCAAGCACCUGCAGACUCAGACUGCUCAGUGUCAGCCCUCUGUCUCUGUAUCCAGAGGCUGGUAUCACGGA
ensembl:lncRNA